rnacentral:lncRNA from 1 species
AGGAGUUUUAACCGCUUUGAGCUGCUAAGAUAAGAUUCCCAUUUUUACAAAAGCUUCUUGUGAAAGUAUAUUGGCCGCACUCCCGUUGUCAACCAAGAUUCUCUUUACUUCAAAAUUGGCCACAAUCACUGAGAUUACCAAGGCGUCAUCAUGUGGAAGUGAUACACCUUCUAAGUCCCCGAUCCCAAAAUUAAUAUCCUCCAACUUUCCAUGAGGCAUUCCAGAGGCCAAGACAUAUUGUCGAGCAUAUUGUUUUCUUCCACUUUUGGAGUCUCCUCCCGAGGCAAUACCCCCAACGAUGAUAUUGAUGGUUCCAACAGUGGGUUGACUAUCCCUUUUUGCCUAAGGGGCUUUUUCCCUGCCACGAUCAUUCCUUGGGCGUUUGUCAUUACCAACGUAGGAACUCAGGAGUCCCCUUUUAAUAAGGGCUUCAAUCUCCCGUUGUAGGGCCUUACAGUUCUCCGUGGUAUGCCCAUGAUCCCGAUGGAACUCACAGUACUUAUUCAUGUCCCUGUAUUCGGGUGGUGACCUCAUUCUGACAGGCCAUUUGAGUUCUUUCAUAUCCUUGAUCUCCAUCAAUAUAUUGGUCUUUGACGUAUUUAAACGCGUGAAUGACGUCAGGGGAACCUCCUGUCUCUGUUUUUUCUGAUGUUGUUCUUUACGGGGAUUCGGGUCGUGCUGUCGUUUAUGCUCGACCCUGUCAUGGGGUGGUCCAACCUUUCUCGGGUUCAGUGUUUCCUCCAUAUUUAUGUACUUCUCGGCUCGGGUAAGAAGUCGGUUACUG